rnacentral:rRNA from 1 species
CGGACGGGUGAGUAACGCGUAGGUAUCUGCCUUUAAGUGGGGGAUAGCCCGAAGAAAUUCGGAUUAAUACCGCAUGUGGAGCUUCGGUUCUAAAGAUGGCCUCUGUUUCAAGCUAUCGCUUAGAGAUGAGCCUGCGUCCUAUUAGCUAGUUGGUAAGGUAAUGGCUUACCAAGGCGAUGAUAGGUAGGCGGCUUUAACGAGUGGUCGCCCACACUGGGAUUGAGAUACGGCCCAG